UUCUAGCCCUGAUGGCAGCGGAAAUCCUCUUGUGCCAGUCCCGAAACUUCGGGAUGGCACAGGAGAUUGUAGCGUACAGCAGGACAAAAC
rfam:Flavobacterium sp. FPG59 Contig_52, whole genome shotgun sequence.